rnacentral:rRNA from 1 species
UACGUAGGGAGCAAGCGUUGUCCGGAAUCAUUGGGCGUAAAGCGCGUGUAGGCGGCUCGAUAAGUCUGCUGUGAAAGUCCAGGGCUCAACCCUGGGAUGCCGGUGGAUACUGUCGAGCUCGAGUCCGGAAGAGGCGAGUGGAAUUCCUGGUGUAGCGGUGAAAUGCGCAGAUAUCAGGAGGAACACCAAUGGCGAAGGCAGCUCGCUGGGACGGUACUGACGCUGAGACGCGAAAGCGUGGGGAGCAAACAGG